rnacentral:rRNA from 1 species
GACGAACCGUCCUAACGUUGUUCGGAAUCACUGGGCUUAAAGGGCGCGUAGGCGGGCCACAAAGUCUGGGGUGAAAUCUUUCGGCUUAACCGGAAAUAGCCUUGGAUACUGGUGGUCUGGAGGUGGUAGGGGCAUGGUGGAACUUCCGGUGGAGCGGUGAAAGUGCGGUAGAUAUAGUGGAGGAACACCGAUGGCGAAGGCAGCCCCUGGGUCAAAACUGGACGCU